rnacentral:misc_RNA from 1 species
GUUGAAGCUUCCAAUUUCUUAAAGGUAUAAAAGGGGAGAAGAAAUUAAUGAACAAGGAGGAGAAUAAUCUGAAUCUAACAUUGAUCAUCUGAAUCCUUCUUCUCCCCUCCAAUACUAAUUCAUGGCAAUUUCUGCAAAUUUGUCCAAUUAUGGUACCCUUCCAACUUCAACCCCACCAGCAUCACCACAAACCACACCUCAUUCCGCAAGAAAACCACCUCGUCCACCGUUACCACGACCACCACAACCACAACCACAACCGCCGGUGCGGACGUCGACGGUCACUAGAUCCGACCCGGCAACACGUCGUUCAUGGCGUGUGUUCUUUGACUACAACAUUAUGUCUCUUCCGUAUAACUAUUCUGAAGCGAUUACCCGGGUGAGGAGGAACCUUAAUUAUUUCCGUGUCAAUUACGCUAUGAUAAUCCUUGUUAUUCUAUUCAUCAGCCUUGUCUACCACCCUAUCUCUAUGAUUGUCUUCUUGGCUAUUUCUGUAGCUUGGUUUUACUAUUUCCGUGAAGAAGCGAUUGUGAUUUCGGGAACCCAAUUGGAUGAUCGGCUUGUUUUGGUUGGGUUAGGGUUGGUUACUGUUGUUGCCUUGGCGCUUACUCACGUGGGUCUCAAUGUUUUGGUUGCUUUGAUUAUUGGGUUUUUCGUUUUGGGAAUCCAUGGGGCGUUAAGGGGAACUGAGGAUUUGUUCUUGGAUGAGAAUGAGGCUGCGGAAGGUGGGUUGCUUUCGGUUGUCAGUGAGGAACAAAUCAG